rnacentral:lncRNA from 1 species
GCUUCACUGGGCUCCCCCGGGUGGAUGGAGGGGCCCGGCAUGCUCACUGUGGGGGCCUGGGGUACUCACGCGUGUGCGAGUAGAUGUACCAGAGUGCAGCAGUGAGCAGGGCCCCGAUGAGGAAGGCACCAAAGGUGAUGCCCAGCACGGCGGGCAGGACGAGGCCUUUGCUUGUGCAACCUAGAGAGGGCCGACGCCAUCAGCACUGCCACUCUGCCCCUGCCCCAUCCCCUACCCUGUUGUGCUGGCCCGCGUGGGCUUUGGUGCCAGCUCUGCUCAGCCAUGGACCCUCGACUUCUCUGAACCUCAGUCUCCUCUUGUAGCAAACGGGCUCAUCACAGCCAGGCCUGGCAUUGAGCCAUGGUUGCUAGGACUGUCCACCUAGAGGGCCCAGCCAGGCCUUUUGGGUCAUGCCUCUGCCCCUCAAGGCUGAUGGAGAUGGCGUUUUCAGGGAGGAUGGAUGGGGUAACGUGAGGAAACUGAGGCUCGGGAGUACAGAGCCUGCCCCAACUGCUGCAUGACCUUGGGUCAACCCUGCCCCUCUCUGAGGCCUUUAGCAGGUAGAGAAUGGGCCAGAGCAGCUCCGAGUGCCCUGCAGCUCUGCUCUUGGAUUGUUCCAAGCCUCAUUCCCUCCACAUUCCUGACUCCUGUGUGGCUAUGGGCCAAGCAGUCUUUCCUUGAGCCUCUGACAUCCGAUUCUGUGUCAUGGGGUUAUCAGCCCUGCCUUCUUGGUCCUGGGCUGGGAGUGGAGGCUCCAUCCUGGCCUGGAUGGGGUGGCAAAGAGGUAGGUGCCCCCAUCCCUCACCCCUGCCUCUGCCACCAGUGUUGGGACUCUUCUGCCUGGUGUGGGCCUGGGCCUGGGGGGAACUGAUGGAGAGGCUAGAGGGGGCGUCCUGCAGGGAGAGGCCUCAAGGAAGGCAAGGCCAGCACCCACCCUCAAAGGGCCUCUGUCCUACCCAGGAGGCUCCAUCCUUCCAGCAAGGUCAGCCAAUAACUGUGGGGAUGGAGUGGAGCCGUGAGUGGGGGCAGAGGCCUAGACUCCCACCCCACAGGGCGGUCCCGGGCAAGGGCUCUCCAUCUGCAAAGUGCAGCUCUGGCCCCUGCUCUAGGCUGCUAUGGCUCUGGGAAGCCCUCCUCCUGCCCCUUCUGGGCCGCUUUCUCUGGGGUCCCCCUUGCCAUGUGCUAUGUGCCCAGGCCGUUUCUCAGGGCUGCCCGCUGUGCCCUACUGUGACCUCAGCCACUAGAACAAACCCGAGAGACCUGGAGGGAGCUCACCAGACAGGUCAGGGGUGAUGAUGUUCAAGCGCAUGAAGACAGUCCUAUGGACUUCCUGGAGGAGAGAGAGAGAGCAGUAUGUGGCACCUUUGGGAGGCGGCUUCCAGGUUUACUCCCUGGCUCCGUGACCCCAGCCCACCCUAGGGCCUUGGCUUUGAAUCCCAUCUCCACCGCUUCGUAGCUGGAUGCCUCUGGGUGAGUCCUGGAAGAUCUGUACUGUGGGAGGGUGCCUAGUGGAUGAUCCCUGGCUGCUGCUGAAAUGUUUCCUGUGAGUUCCUGGAGGCCUUGAUGCCCAGGAGCACUGUGGAAGCACUAUGCAUCCCUCACCCUUGUGAACACUUUGGAGCUAUGAGCCAGGUCAGCCCAGAGUCCCAGGCUCACUGUGGCUGGAGGGAGAGGCCCACUUAGGGGAGUUGAAGGCUUCCCUAGCUUCCUAUGACCAGAGAAGUUUGUAAUCCUGGAGGCCUGUCUGUGCAAGGGCCUGGGGGUGACUCUGGGGGCGUCCAGGAUAGAUUGCCUGAGAGUGGGGGUCACCAGAUGGUGAAGUGUUGUGACUGGCAAAUACAGAAAGCCAGGAGUGUGUGUCCUUUGUCUGCCUCUCUUCCCUCAGGUCUCCUGUUCUUUGAGAUUACACUGGUGACCAUACUACGUGGAUGUGCGGGUGGCUAGAUUCCUGGGUGGGAGGGUGGAUGGAUGGAUGGACGGACGGGGCUUGGGGACAGCAGGCUCACACAGUUGCCCUUGGCUGCCCGGCCCUGGAUGAGUUCCACGGUGCCUCCCUCAGGCCCCAAGUCCAGGUGGCAGCUGUCUAACUGGAGCAGGAACUCGGAGAUGGAUGGGGACACUCUGACCUGCAUGGGUAGGUAGGGCCACGCGGCAUGGGCAGCUGCUCUUCACCCCACCCCACCUGCUGCCUUGAAAUAUCGGCUAGAAUUAAGAGUUCCCACCCCUGAGUCCUCACAGUGGAAGGAAAGACAUGGACCUGUCUGGGGCAGAGGAGGAGGACAGGGCCACAUCCUUGUCAGUGUCCCUGAGCAAUGCCUUCUCUGUCUCUCCCUCUCCCGUGCACCCAGGCUGUCUCCCUCCUGACUCUGGGAGUCUCAUCUCCUCUGGAGUCACGGUGGGAAGAAAGGCGGAGAGGAAGUUCCAGGAGCUGGGAGGCCUGAGGGGUGACAGGCAUGCCAGGUACCUGCACAAAGCUCUGCUGCCCCGGCUCAAUGGUGUUGGAGGCCUGGAGGAAGUGUGGGCUGAGGUAGAGGCCCAGCUGGAAAGAGAGGCUGUCCAUGUUGAGGCAGUGCACCUUUUUCUGGGGGAGGACGGGAGGGAGACUUGGUCAAUCUGGCGGCACCAGCCAGGAGGGCGAGGGGUGUGGGGAGGAACAG